CGAGGCGGGCUCGACAGCCCCCCGGGGCCGCGGAGCGUCUCUGCCCCGACUCUCUCAGGGGGCGAAGGCUGCGGAUGUCGCGUCUGUCUGUAAGUUGCCGCGCCCGGCGCGCCUGGGUGUAUGUGCCAGGGGCAGUGCCAGCCCGGCGUGACCCUGUGCGAGGUCCUGCUCGGGGCUGGCUCGACUUGCUUUUUGGGAAACAAUAAUGCCCCGGUCUGUAAAGCUGAGCAAACCCCUGUGCAGCUUUCGUUGGUGCUGCCUCGCUGGGAGCCAGGGGAAAGGAUCUUAAAAAGUGCUUUGCUCGUAGAUCUGGUUUUUGCUGUUGUUUUUUUUUUUUUUUUUUUACUUAAUGCGCAUUUUAGGAGUUAUUACUGCUGCCGGCGCAUCAUAGACACUGGAUGAUCAAUGAAUCUUCAGGCUUCUAGGAAUAUUUGCAAGAGGAGGAGGAAUACCGUGAACAUGAGGACGUGCGAAAGAUGGUGAUGCUUGCAACCUAUGGCUGAACUGGAGACCCACUUAAGAGUACCUGUCAAGACCUGCAAUACCAGCAGCGGCCCUAUGCUUAGCUACCCAAUUUUGUAAAGACUUUAUGGGGUUACAAAGGAAAUGUCACAGGAAGACAUUGCUACUGAGAAGCUAAAAACCAAGACGCCCUUUUCCAAAGAGCUCAUUUAUUCCUUCAAGGAGUUAUGACUGAAUCUUGCUAUUGUUUUGCCCCUUCCACUGCACCAUUUUUCCCCCUAAAUGACUGAGCCUCAAGUCAGCUUCCUUGUCUUGGCGCACUAAUUUUUACAUUUUCUGAAGACCUAUAAUUUAUGUUCUUACUCAUAUUUUCAGUUCAAAUAUGCCCUUUGGAGAAUGUUCAUAACUUUAAAAUAAAGGAAAUUCACUGUUAAUUCACCUGAAUGUUCAUUCGGUUUUUGAAAUCAAAGCAGUGAACUUCCUUACUGGAUUUAAAAGAAGUGGGGGGAGAGGGGGAGAAGCUAAAUUCCCAUGGCACUAGGAUUCAGGAUCCUACUGGAAAAUGCCUCACGUAGCAGUGCAUCCUCUGAUUCUUCAAUGCCAAAGGAUUACGUUUUACCAAGUAAACCAAAUCCGUGGUACAUUUGCAGUUUUAACACCAAUACCAUAAUUCCCAUAAAACCCCCUCAUCAUAAGUGGAUCUCUAUGAAGCAACAAAUACUAUUUAGUCUUGUAAAACUGGGAAUCUCCAAUUUAAUAAUUAAAACUACAAUAGUUGAAAAACAGGUGUUAUACUUGCCUCUUGUUUAGUUAUUUUUGCUGCAUCCUUGC